rnacentral:rRNA from 1 species
UACAGAGGGUGCAAGCGUUAAUCGGAAUUACUGGGCGUAAAGCGUGCGUAGCCGGUUAUGUAAGUCGGGUGUGAAAGCCCCGGGCUCAACCUGGGAAUGCCAUUCGAGACUGCAUAGCUAGGGUGCGGAAGAGGGAAGCGGAAUUUCCGGUGUAGCGGUGGAAUGCGCAGAUAUCAGGAGGAACACCGGUGGCGAAGGCGGGAUCCUGGGCCAGUACUGACGCUGAGGAGCGAAAGCGUGGGGAGCAAACAGG